rnacentral:rRNA from 1 species
UACAGAGGUGGCAAGCGUUGUCCGGAAUUAUUGGGCGUAAAGAGCUCGUAGGCGGUUUGUCGCGUCGAAUGUGAAAACCCGGGGGCUCAACCCCGGGCCUGCAUUCGAUACGGGCAGACUAGAGUUCGGUAGGGGAGUCUGGAAUUCCUGGUGUAGCGGUGAAAUGCGCAGAUAUCAGGAGGAACACCGGUGGCGAAGGCGGGACUCUGGGCCGAUACUGACGCUGAGGAGCGAAAGCGUGGGGAGCGAACAGG